AUUGAACGCUGGCGGCAGGCCUAACACAUGCAAGUCGGGCGAGUGGCGGACGGGUGAGUAAUGUAUGGGGAUCUGCCUGAUGGAGGGGGAUAACUACUGGAAACGGUAGCUAAUACCGCAUACCAUCAGAUGAACCCAGAUGGGAUUAGCUUGUUGGUGAGGUAACGGCUCAACUAGGCGACGAUCCCUAGCUGGUCUGAGAGGAUGAACAGCCACACUGUAACUGAGACACGGCCCAGACUCCUACGGGAGGCAGCAGUGGGGAAGAUUGCACAAUGGGCGCAAGCCUGAUGCAGCCAUGCCGCGUGUAUGAAGAAGGCCUUCGGGUUGUAAAGUACUUUCAGUCGGGAGGCGUUACCGGCAGAAGAAGCACCGGCUAACUCCGUGCCAGCAGCCGCGGUAAUAC
rnacentral:rRNA from 1 species